rnacentral:rRNA from 1 species
UUGAACAAGGGACAAACGGUGCUUGCUCCUUGCACACGGGGUUUUGUUAGGCAACGAGCGAGACCCGCACCUCUAGUUGCCAGCAGCAUCUCGCGAUGGCUGGGUACAGUAGGGGGACUGCCGCGGCCAAGGCGGAGGAAGGAACGGGCAACGGUAGGUCAGUAUGCCCCGAAUGAGCUGGGCAACACGCGGGCUACAAUGGCCGGGACAAUGGGA